rnacentral:rRNA from 1 species
CAGCCGCCACGGUAAUACAGAGGGUGCAAGCGUUAAUCGGAAUUACUGGGCGUAAAGCGCGCGUAGGUGGUUUGUUAAGUUGGAUGUGAAAUCCCCGGGCUCAACCUGGGAACUGCAUCCAAAACUGGCAGGCUAGAGUAGGGCAGAGGGUGGUGGAAUUUCCUGUGUAGCGGUGAAAUGCGUAGAUAUAGGAAGGAACACCAGUGGCGAAGGCGACCACCUGGGCUCAUACUGACACUGAGGUGCGAAAGCGUGGGGAGCAAACAGGAUUAGAUACCCCAGUAGUCCCUGUCUCUUAUAC